rnacentral:lncRNA from 10 species
GCCAUGCAAGGCAAGAGGUGACUCCCACGACCAGUGCGGGUCACAGCACAGGCGACAGAAGCUAUGGCAGAGGCACCUGAACCCUCUCGGAGGGGAAAGCCAGGCUCCCAACCUCAGCUCGCCGCCUGGAGCCGGGAACCGAGGAGAGCAGGGCCUUCGCCCUCCCCGAUGGACACUCGGCAGGCCCCGCCCAGCGCCCCUGAUUGGACGAAGCGCCGGGCCCCGCCCCCUCAGCCUUUUGAGUCAGGGUCUCACCCUGUGGCCCAGGCUGCCCUCCAGUGAUGCCAUCAUGACUCAGUGCAACCUCAAACUCCCAGGUUCAAGCGAUCUUCCAUCCUGACCUCCAAAAGGGCUGGAUUAUACACAUAAGCCAUGUCACACUUUAUAUGUUUCUAGGGAAGCUUUUCUAAGAAUAAAUACAUUGGAACUA